CCUACGGGAGGCAGCAGUGGGGGAUAUUGCACAAUGGCGGAAACCCUGAUGCAGCGAAGCCGCGUGUAGGACGAAGGUGCCCUGGAUUGUAAACCACUGUUCCCAGGGACGAAGAUGACGGUACCUGGGGAGGAAGCUCCGGCUAACUACGUGCCAGCAGCCGCGGUACUACGGAGGGAGCGAGCGUUGUCCGGAUUUACUGGGUGUAAAGGGAGCGUAGGCGGGACGUCAAGUUGGGUGUAAAAUCUAGAGGCUCAACCGGGAGCCGCACUCGAAACUGCAGUUCUUGAGUGGAGUAGAGGCAUGCGGAAUGCCUAGUGUAGCGGUGAAAUGCGUAGAUAUUAGGAGGAACACCAGUGGCGAAGGCAGCCUGCUGG
rnacentral:rRNA from 1 species